UAUCCUGAACGGUGGAUCACUUGGCUCGUGGGUCGAUGAAGAACGCAGCUAAUUGCGUGUUAACUUGUGAACUGUAAGACACAUAAACAUCGACAUUUCGAACGCACAUUGCGGUCCACGGAUAUAAUUCCCGGACCACGCCUGGCUGAGGGUCA
rnacentral:rRNA from 1 species